GCGGCUACAAGGUAGUUUCUCGACACUUGACCUCAGUCCACCUCGCCGUUCGUGUAGAAUAUAAAUGAGAGAAAUUUCUGUGCACUGGUAUGUCUCAGUGAAGCAGAUUUCAACUACGAGUCUCGACUCUGAGUCAUUUUACAUCAGGAGUGACAACGAUAUCACGUCAUCAUGCGACACGUGCUGAUGGUUGUAGCGGUGCUGGUGGUGCUGUGUCAGCUGACUGCUGCUGCAGCGAAUCGCGAUGACCCAGGCCAGUCACUUGUUGCUGCCGACAUCGAUGCUGAUGGGGAGGGAGUGUUGCUGCAUCCUUUGAAGAAACGACAGGCGGAUGGGGGCCCCAUGUGCGUCCCAGACAGAGAUGAAAUAAUUGAUCUAAAGGUGCCGUGAUUGUCUUAAGCAGUCUGCUGAUUUCACAAAAAUAAAACAUUGGCAUUGAA